rnacentral:misc_RNA from 1 species
GAGCCAUGGUCUUUUGGAGAUGAGGUUUGUCCUCUGCACUAGCAAUUUGAUAGUAACCAUCUUUAGAUUUCCUACUACUGAUAUGUAUAUAGAUAUUCCAUUUAAUUAGGCAAAGCCCAAAGUUGAUUUAAUGCUAUGGUAGAUUUGUUUAGACCUGAACCUGAGAUAACUAUGUAAAAUAUUUCUUUUUCAUAAGUAUCAUAGCAUAUAUCAUGUUGCUUUAAUAUCAUGUGUUUGCGCCUAUCUUAUCUCUUUCUAAAUUUUCUAUAUUGCUAUUCAAGUUUAUCGUAAUUAUCCUAUUCUGCUGGCAACUAUUUUAUGAACUAACUUCCAUUUCAACUUCCAAUAGUGUGAAGAAGUUUGUCGUCGAG